rnacentral:rRNA from 1 species
CCUACGGGAGGCUGCAGUGAGGAAUAUUGGUCAAUGGACGAGAGUCUGAACCAGCCAAGUAGCGUGAAGGAUGACUGCCCUAUGGGUUGUAAACUUCUUUUAUAUGGGAAUAAAAUGUUCCACGUGUGGGAUUUUGUAUGUACCAUAUGAAUAAGGAUCGGCUAACUCCGUGCCAGCAGCCGCGGUAAUACGGAGGAUCCGAGCGUUAGCCGGAUUUAUUGGGUUUAAAGGGAGCGUAGGUGGAUUGUUAAGUCAGUUGUGAAAGUUUGCGGCUCAACCGUAAAAUUGCAGUUGAAACUGGCAGUCUUGAGUACAGUAGAGGUGGGCGGAAUUCGUGGUGUAGCGGUGAAAUGCUUAGAUAUCACGAAGAACUCCGAUUGCGAAGGCAGUUCACUGGACUGCAACUGACACUGAGGCUCGAAAGUGUGGGUAUCAAACAGGAUUAGAUACCCUAGUAGUC